rnacentral:lncRNA from 1 species
UACAUAGAAAUACCUAGUUAAAUAUUAAACUACAUGUAAAAUACCACAUUAAUGUAUAAAACUAUUUUUCGUAAUAUUUUCAGAUAUGAUCAAUUAGUGCAUUUGUUAAGUUUUUUUUAAUAUUAUUGUUAUCUAAAUCUAGUUUUGAAAAAUGCUUAUCUUAAAGUUUUUUUAAUUUUAUUUGUAAAAAUUAAAACUACAAAAGCAAAUUUGAAAUAUUUCUUAGUUAUAAAGUUUUUAAGGAUUAAAAAGAUAAAACGACAAAAUAUUUAAGAAUCAUAAAUGUAAUAUGUAAAUAUAAGGACCAAAAUGCAAUGAAAAAUAUGAAACUUCGAAUUUGAAGUUUUGAUUAGUGUCUCUCUAUAUUUAAAGUUUUAUUAUUCAAAAUUUGAAGUUUCUUUUUUUGAGAGCAAAAAACUUCAUAUUUGAAGUUAUAGAAAGUCUUUUAGAGAUGCUUUUAACACUGAAUAAAAAUAUUAACAAGUCAUUUAAACCCCCAAGAGGCCAAGAGCCACUCUUAAAGACAACCCUUUGAGCUUCCACUUCACUGCAUGGCCAACAUCUCGUAAAAUAUCACUUCUUUUAGCCAUCGUUUAUUUCAAAAGAAAUUAGAUGUGCUAAAUAGAGAUUUCAUGAUUCUCCUGAUAAAGCUGUGUAGAAAACUAUACUAUAAGUGGAAAAUUAGCAAUUUUGCUGCAAAAAUUUCAAAAGGAAAGGCAAUAAUAAUAGAAAAAACCAAGUCAAUGUGGUGGCAAGCAGAUGAAGUUUAAUCUCUGCAUAAUUUAAAAUCAAUAAUAGUAGUAGCAGCUCUCUCUCCACUGUUCAUGUCUCUAUCUUUAGUCUCUUUGAAAUAGGGUUCGAUCUAUCUUCCUUCAGAAGCAAACUCCUAAAAGCCGAGCUCAAAGCAGAGCAUGUCACCAGUGAAGCUUUCAACAGAUUCAAAGCCUAAUUUUUCAAAGUAACAGAGAAAAUCACAGUAUUGUCUUCUUAACUGGCCAAGAAAGAAAGGAAAAGGGUUUAGUUAGUUAUAUAUACCUCUGCACUGCUGAUGCUAAUUACUUGCACCUCCAUAUCAUCUGCUUGACCCUUCAACUUCUUCAGUAUACUAAAUGUUGAGUUAGACUUCUUAGCUGUAACGAUCAGAUCAUCUGUCACAGUAAACUUUGUCCCUCUCUUCACAAACCCAGUACCAUCUGUCAUCUGAUUUUGGAUCCACAAAAGUCAUGGGACGGCUACUAUAUGUUGUAGUCAAACUGAAGCUCUCAGAUAAAUAGUAAUAUAUGUAAAUUAUAUAUGAUAAUUAAGAAUAUAAACAUAAUUUAUUUUAUUGAUAUGAUCUUCAUAUUUAAAAUGUUGAUUUUAGUAAAUUAAUAUUUUAUUUCAAGUAGAAAGUUAUGUUUCAUUUUUAUCAAAUUAAAUAAAACAAAACUUUAACCUUUUUAAAAAUAUAUAUAUAUAUGUGCUACUAUUUAGUUAUUUAUAAUAUUAUGGAUUACAAAAUUUUAUUAUUUUUAUUGUAUAAAAACUAUUAUAAUGAUUGACUUAAUAUGUUUACUAAUUGUUUUAUAUAGUAAUAGAAAAAAAAAAGAAAAAAACUAUUUGAAAUAUGUUCAAAUUAUAUAAAAUUCAAUAUCUAGUCAAAUUAGUAAAAUAGCUUAAAAGAUAUAUAAAUUUAUGUUUUUUUGUAUAAAACCGAAUAAACAAAAAAUCGACAGUAUAUAAACUGAACCAAACUAAAUUGGUUUUAGUAUAGUAGAUACUUUUUAGAAACUGAAAUACUGAAAAACCAAAAAAAAUGGAACCAAACCGGACCCCUAGUAUUUGUGCAAAAAAUAUUAAAAGAGGGACGCCAACUUAAUUUCCACACAAAUGAAUUCUGGAGCAGAGAAAAGAACUCUAUGGGCUUACCACUUUCACUGGACUCUUUAGCCCUCGGGAACAGACAGCCCGUUGAGUGUCGACGCCGUUUUGCCUGGAGCUCCGUUCUUGUCAUGUAGAGCACUAGUCUUCAACUCUCCCUUGUCUCUCUCUAGGCCAGAAGAAAUGGUUGCUCACCGCUUAUUACCUUCAAGAAUCCUCCUUUGCUCCCGCGUUAAAACUACCCCUCACACUCGACUUAAACCUCUCAAAACCUUGUCAACAUCUCCCGAAUCCGAAACAACCUCAUCCUCCUCUGAUCCAUACUUGGUGGACAAACUAUGUUUCAGUUUAAACCAAGCUAAUAACAACAACAACUCAGCGACAGCGGCUUCUCUGCGUAACCACCUGAUUCGACUAAACCCUCUAUCCGUCGUCGAGGUUCUGUACCGUUGCCGCGACGACUUAACUCUAGCUCAAAGGUUCAUCCAACAAUUAAGUUUACACCUUCCCAAUUUCAAGCACACGUCUUUCUCUCUAAGCGCAAUCAUCCAUAUCCUAGUAAGGAGCGGAAGGCUAUCCGAUGCGCAGAGCUGUCUUCUCAGGAUGAUUAGGAGAAGUGGCGUCUCCAGAGCAGAGGUUGUGAGCUCAUUGGUUUCCACUUACAGUAACUGUGCCUCCAAUGAUUCCGUUUUCGAUUUGUUGAUUAGGACUUACGUUCAGGCUAGAAAGCUAAGAGAAGCUCACGAGGCUUUCACAUUGCUGAGAAGCAAAGGCUACACGGUCUCUAUAGAUGCGUGCAACGCUCUUUUAGGAAGCUUGGUGAGGCUCGGGUGGGUUGAAUUGGCUUGGGGUGUUUAUCACGACAUUUCUCCGAGUGGAAUUAAUGUCUACACUCUCAAUAUAAUGGUUAAUGCGUUGUGCAAAGACGGUCAAAUGGAUAAAGUCGGAUCCUUUUUAUCGCAAGUGCAAGAGAAGAUGGGUGUUUAUCCUGAUAUCGUUACCUACAACACGUUGAUUAGCGCUUACUCUAGUAAAGGCUUUAUGGAAGAGGCGUUUGAGUUGAUGGACGCUAUGCCCAGCAAAGGGUUUAGUCCUGGUGUUUAUACUUACAACACUGUGAUUAAUGGUCUCUGUAAGCAUCGGAGAUACGAGAGAGCUAAGGAGGUUUUCGCUGAGAUGUUGGAAUCUGGUUUGAGUCCUGACUCUACUACGUAUAGAUCGUUGCUGAUGGAGGCUUGUAAGAAGGGAGACGCGGUUGAGGUAGAAGAGAUUUUCAGUGAUAUGAGGUGUAGGGAUGUUGUUCCUGAUUUGGUUUGCUUUAGCUCGGUGAUGAGUCUUUUCGCUAGGAGUGGAGAUUUAGACAAGGCGUUAGUGUUUUUCGAUUUUGUCAAGGAUGCUGGUUUGGUUCCUGAUAACGUGAUCUACACAGUUCUUAUCCAAGGGUAUUGUAAGAAAGGUAUGAUCUCCGAAGCUAUGGAUUUGAGAAACGAAAUGCUUCGGCGUGGUUGUUGUAUGGAUGUUGUUGCCUACAACACCAUUUUGCACGGCUUAUGCAAACGGAAGAUGUUGGGUGAUGCGGAUAAGCUCUUCAGAGAGAUGACAGAAAGGGGUUUGUUUCCAGACUCCUACACUCUAACCAUACUUAUCGAUGGACACUGUAAGCUCGGGAACCUGCAGAACGCAAUGGAGCUUUUCAAGAAGAUGAAAGAAAAGAGGAUCAGACUCGACGUUGUGACGUACAACACGCUGUUAGAUGGGUUUGGUAAAGUAGGCGAUAUCGAUACAGCGAAAGAGAUAUGGACAGAUAUGGUAUCAAGAGAGAUACUACCGACUCCUGUAUCUUACAGCAUUAUGGUUAACGCGCUGUGCAGCAAAGGCCAUCUCCCUGAAGCGUUUCGGGUAUGGGAUGAGAUGAUGAGUAAAGGUGUGAAGCCAACGGUCAUGAUUUGUAACUCUAUGAUAAAGGGCUAUUGCCGGUCUGGUAAUGCCUCGGAUGGAGAAAGCUUUUUGGACAAGUUGGUCUCUGAAGGUUUUGUGCCGGAUAUCAUCACUUACAACACGUUGAUAUACGGUUAUGUUAGAGAAGAAAACAUGAGUAGAGCUUUUGGUUUGGUGAAGAAGAUGGAGGAGGAGAAGCAAGGGGGAGGAUUACUAGUGCCUGAUGUGUUUACGUACAAUUCGAUCUUACAUGGGUUUUGUAGACAGAAUCAGAUGAAAGAAGCUGAGGCUGUGUUGAGGAAGAUGAUUGAGAGAGGUGUGAAUCCUGACAAGUCAACGUAUACUGCUCUGAUAAAUGGAUUUGUUUCUCAAGAUAACUUAACGGAGGCGUUUCGGUUUCACGAUGAGAUGUUGCAGAGAGGAUUCUCCCCUGAUGAUCAAUUCUGAUGCUCAAUUCCUGUUGUGGUUUACUGCUGCAAGUUGCAACUCACGUAAGCUGAGGAAGGGGACCACUGGAGACAAUACACAUUCCAUUACUACUCUCCUCUCACUUUCUUCCGAGUCAAGACAGAGAAAUGAGACAGAGUAAGGUGUCUGAACGUGGCAACUGAUUAUAAAUGCAUUCUUUCUGUUUUUGGACAAACUCUCACUAGUAUACACCAACGUCUCCUCUUGUUCACAAUUGAAAGAGAAAAAGGACAAACUGCAUUGAAUUUGUUCAAUAAUUCAAGAUCUUAAUUAAUACAUAUUGUAAAUGAUUCUACAUGUGAAAACUUAUCUCACCAAACUUGCCACUAACAAACAAAGCGAAGGACACAAGAAUUUACAAUACAAACACAGAGACUUCCAAAAAUUCUAUUAAAAGAAAACACGAAACUACUUCUUGCCUUGUUCAUCAACAACAGCGGCAGCUUUUAUCACGACAAUAUCUGAUUUGCCAUUAGCACAUUCCUCAGGAACCACUGCCAUUGACCGCCUAUUACCGCAUAUUGUCCAAAGGUAUAACGCUAACAUCGCUCCUAGACUUCCACAAACCGCACCCAGAACCAAUGCACCAAGCAUUCUCCAAACACACUUGCUCUUCUUCCCCUUCACUUCCACCGUCUUCACCUCCUCCUUAACAGUCUUGGAAACUGCGUUUGGAUCAAGCGGCUGCGAGUGAAUCCUCAUCGAGGGAUGUCUCAUCCCAAAGCUCCAUGAGUGGAGAUAAUGUGGCUUGGAAGAGUUUCCAUUAGAAGAGGUCAAACCCACCAUGAAGUUCUUUCCUUUCCAUAGCUUAGCCAAGUCUACUGAGUAAGACACGAAUGGAUCUACAGGCUUUAAGGCAGUAGAAACACUCAAACGAACCUCUACUCUCUUUGAGCUCGCCUCGUAAUCAAUCCAGCAAUUCAAUCUCUUCUCUCCGUUGAAAUGGCCAUCAAAAGAUGAUAAGUUUCUAAUUUUAGCAGAUUCAGGUCUACCAACUAAGAUCCCCACACGGUUUCCUCUCUUGGAGAUACCAAACUCAACAGCAACAAUCUCCUUUUUCAAUAAGAAACCUAGACCUGAGGAAGCGUUAUCCUUCCUACCAAACAGCCUAAGAUCCAAACCACUUGGAACCAUUACAAAAGCCAGGACACUCCCAAUCUCUUUGGAGGGCAUGGUGAAGGAGAAACUAGUCGAGAGUGAACCUGGAAAGCUUCUCCCUUUAGUAGUACCUUGGAAGAGUUUGAUGGGUUUCAUGUAAAUGACUCGCCCUUGGCUCCGACUCACUGAGCCAGUCAGCUGAAUCGACGAACCUCCACCACCAACGAGCUUCGAAUCUCCAAACAGAGCAAUAUUCUUGUCAAAGCUCGGAGAUUUCGCAAACCCAUCAAAGGAAAACGAGGAAUUUGCAUCUGCGGCAGCAGCCAUAGUUUCGAAGCUGAUGACCAGCAGAAAAGCUAGGGUUUUGAAAACCGCCAUAGCUGAAAUUGAAAAUGGGGAGCUUUGAGGAAUCUAGAAAGGAGCUUUUCUUUUUUACUUCUUUCUUCAGCUUCCGAUGAAAGGAAUUUCUAGGAUUCGUGAAUGAGUUGCAGUUUUCAAGAGUGGUAGAAAUUAAAUAGAAUUUAAAGACAUCUUCUACUGGGAGAAGGUGAACUUUGGUUCGCUAUCUUUCACGCUCGGUAGUUGCUGAAUCAGUGAAAUUCAAUUAAUGCCAUCUCUGUUCUUAAUCCCCCCCCCACCACCAGUACUUCUUACUUCUCUCUUCCCUUACCCCCAUGGUCUAGAUUGUGACAUUUUAGGCCCACUUCUUCUUUCUUUUAAUAAUCCUUCCAAUAAUCAACAUUGAUCGGGUAACGAUGUAGGAUUUAACAAAUGGCUGUCUUAGAGCAUCUUUUAACCCCGGAUGCUUAAAUAGGUGCUAAUGAAGUUUUAAUAUUAAAUUUAAUGGUUAGUGGGGUUAAGGAUCUUUGUUAAGGUGCUCUCAUUUUAUGCAGUCCAAUGGAGAGUUUUUAAGUUGGGGUUCUUAAUAAAAAAAAAAAUUUUAAAAAAUUCAUUUAUUAAUUAUAAUACAUUAAAGGAUAACAUUAAAAACAUAGAAAUUUAAAAUAAAAAUGAAAUAAAGAUUAGUACAAUAACUGAGAAAAAUUCGAAAACAAACUUCCAAACUCAGUUGUUGUUUUCAUCACGUCAAAUUUAUGCCAUAAAUGUUGAACCAAAUCUUUUUUCAGUUGUUGAUUUGUACGUGGAUCACGAAUUUGUCUUCAACGUCCCAUCAUAUUGGUGAGCACUUCAUGGAAUUCUCUUUCAAUAUCGGGAUCGACAUGUGAACUUCCGGUAUCUUAUCCUUGUUGGAACUCUGAAACAUUUCGCAUGGUAUAUCCAUCUCGUUCAUCUUCUACUAUCAUAUUAUGAAGUAUGAUACAUGCCUUCAUAAUAUUCCCAAUUUUGGCUGUGUCCCAAAAAAAGUGUCGGGUUUUUAACAAUGGCAAAGCGAGAUUGCAAGAUUCCAAAAGCACGCUCGACACCUUUUCGGGCAGCUUCUUGUUUUUCAGCAAACAAAACCGCUUUCGGCCCUUGUGGCUCCCGAAUAGAUUGGAUAAAAGUAGUCCAUCUCGGAUAAAUACCGUCGGUGAGAUAGUAAGCCAAAUGAUACUCCCUUCCAUUCACAGUAUAAGUGACUUGCGGAGCCCGACCUUGUAUUAUGUCAUCAAAAACAGGUGAACGAUCAAGAACAUUGAUAUCAUUUAAGGUACCUGGAGAUCCAAAAAAUGCAUGUCAUAUCCAGAGAUCAAAGGAAGCAACCGCCUCUAAAACAAUUGUCGAUUUUCCCGAACCACGUGCAUAUUGCCCUUUCCAUGCGGUGGGACAAUUCUUCCACUCCCAGUGCAUACAAUCGAUGCUUCCUAUCAUCCCGGGAAAUCCACAGGACUCUCCAAUUGCAAGUAGGCGUUCAAGAUCAGCCGGUGUUGGUCUUCUUAGGUACUCGUCGCCGAAUAAAUAUACUAUUCCUUCCACAAAAUGUUCCACACAUAACCGAGUAGUAGAAUCAGCGAGUCAGAGGUAUUCGUCAACCGCAUCAGCCGCAGUACCAUAUGCCAAGACACGAAUGGCUGCUGUACACUUUUGUAGUGGAGAGAGACUAAGCCGGCCGAGAGCAUCUCUCUUUUGUCGAAAGAAUUCAACUUCAUUGGCGAGUCGAUCAACAAUGCGCAUGAACAAUGGCUUGUUCAUUCUAAAUCGCCGUCGGAAUUGAUUUUGUUGAUAUGUUGGAGUUUUACUGAAAUAAUCAUUCCAUAAACGUACAUCGCCUUCUUCACGAUUCCUUUCGAUGUGAACUCGUUUUUUCCUUUUUUUCUUCCUUCUUCUUGUUGAAUGUUCAAAUUUUCAAAAGAUUGAACAAAUUCUUGUUCCAUAUAUUACUCAUAAUAUUGAUCAAAAUCUACUCCCUCAAAAGUGUUUUGAGAAGAAGAAGCCAUAAAUAUAUGAUGAAAAUGACUUAAAGUUUUUUUUUGUGCGGUUAUUGGUGAGAGGGAUAUAGAACGAGAAGAAGGAGAACAAUGUGAUUAUAGUGAGAGGGUGAAUCAAAGCUUUAAACUGAACUGAUGGUGAGAGGGAUAUAAGACGAGAAGGAGUAAUGAGAUUGUGAGAAAGAGUAAUGAGAUUGUGAAUACAAUACGAGAGUGAAUCAAAGCUUUAUCUAGAGAUCAAGAAGUUUUGAAUACAACUUGUGACACAUUCAAACAAAUACAAAGUUGGUACUACAACAGAACUCGUGACACAUACAAACAAAUACAUGUUGCUACUUCAAAGAACUUGUGACACAACAAGACAAAACUCAAGACAAAGCAUAUUCGUGACUUCUGAGUACAAUCCUCACUGGUCCCAUCAACAGGGGUACACUCUUUUGAACCUGCAAAACACGAGAAGAGAACAUGAGACAAAGCAUGAGAAGAACAGAGAACAUAAAACAGUUGUAUAAUUAUAGAAGAACAUGAGAUAGAUCACGAGAAGAACAUAGAAGAUAACAUGAAACAGCUUUAUAAUUAUACAAGCACAUAAUUCAGAAACAUACAAUUACCGAGCAUAUUGCGACUUAAACCGAAAUUGAAACCUUGAUGAAAAACAGGGCAUCACACCUUGAUGAACAACAUAACAUGAAACCUAGAAAAACAGAACUAAUUAUUGAGCAUCUCUGUUAGUAACUUCUGCUUGAGAGCUUCUUCAGCUUGAGAAAGUGUCUCUUUUUUGGAAAUGAGACUGUCAAGCAAAGACAUCUUCGAAACUCUCUCCUUAACUGCCAAAUCUUUCUCCCUAAUAGCCAAAUCUUUCUCCUUAACAGCCAAAUCUUUCUCCUUAAUAGAACACAUGGUCUCAAACUGAGCAAGAGCCUGGUCUUCUGCUAUACUUUUCUUACUACAUACUCCUUUCGCAGCCUUAACACCAGGAGGACGUUUAGUUGGAUCAUCUCCGAGAUUUGAAGGUGCUUGAGAGCUUUCAGAUUGUGAUCCAUCAUUAUACUUUCUCUUCCUACCUUUUCCAUCAACCUUCGAGUUACUAACUUCACACCAUUUCUGGUCAUUCCUCAGCUCCUCCCAAACAUAGUGAAGAUUAAACUUAAUCUUAUGGUCAUUGUAGAAGAUUUGGUGUGCCAGUUUAACAGUAUCUGCCUCGUUCUGGCCACUGCUUUUCUGCCUUGUUGCUGCUGCAUAAGCUCCACAGAACUUGCACACCAGAUCAUUCAUCUUGUUGCUGAAAUGCGUUUCCAGAAAGCAUCUGCUCUCUGCUCAUUGCAAACGACUGGGUCCUUGCUCGUGUUUAGCCAUGCGCUAACGAGCACUAGAUCAUCUGUGACUGUCUAUUUCUUUCUUUCUCUACGCUCUGUAGGUGAGUCUUCACAGAAGGAUGAAGUUUGAGUAGGGAGUUGUGAAAAACUAGCAUACGGAUGGAUAGUAUCUUGUUGACUGUUCAACAAAUCAACAAAAUUGGAUGUCUGAUCCAUUUCCUAACCAGUGAGGGAAGAGAGGAAAAAGAAAUGUGUUUUGAAGAUUAAAAACUAGAGAGAAAGGUUCGGUUUUAAUAGAGGAAAAGAGAAGAAGAUCGACUUAGUUGGACAGCUAAUUGCUUUUACUCUUCCAUCUAUCUAAGAAAUUUAUUAUCUACCACACAAACCUAACACGCAUUCAUCACAGUCAUUAGUCAGAGUUAAAGUUAUCUACCACUAACACAAGCAUUCAUCAUAGUCAUUAAUCAAAAGCAUUCAUCACAACCACAGCCUAACUAUAACCAGCAUUUAUUAUCCUAAUAAGUACUAUGCAUAAGAAAGCAAUUAAGAAAAAAACAACAAACCUAUCUUUGCCUCCAACAUCCCGCCUGUCUUUGGCUCCUCAUUCUCCUCUUACCUUCCUCACAUGAUUUAUCUACGCAAACCAAAGCAAACUUAAUUAUAUACGUUACUGAUUUCAGUUGUAUAAACAACCUUAAUUACCAUUCUCAAAUAACCAAUACAUGACACAUGAUUCAUCAACUUGUUUGGACAAAUAAAAAGAAAGAUCUAACGAGAUAUCAGCAACAAUACAUGACACUAUACAGUCCUCUCUGAUCUUCAAUACUUGUUUCAAGAUUUACUAAACAAUCAGACAAAACAAUCACCUUUCAUUAACUAAAAAAUCAGAGAAAACAAUCGCCUUUCAUUUACUAAACAAUCACACCAAGCACACUAAACAUUUAAGCAGCCUACAAUUUUUGAUCAAAGGCUAAAGCUUUACAAUGACACACAAAACUUAACUACUAUCACAUGCAUUCAUGAAUUGAAAGGAGAAAUAUGUCAAUAGUUGUGAACUUAUCUCCAACGGAGGAGACGCCGUCAACACGGACAGAGUCCUCGACCCUCACAUGAAGUAGGAGGAAUCUCCAUGAGGAGCCAGACAGAAUCCGUCCUCGGUAGCGAUCAUUGAUCUGGCGGAGAAGACGACACAAGUGGAACGACGAGACUCUGUGAGGAGAAGAGAGUCGUCCUCGGUAUCGGCGGAGAUGGCGAUGGAAUUCCCGUGAGAAGCCAGAGAGACGUCGUCCGUCACCAGUUUCGAUCCUUGAUCAGAUGAAGAAGACCCGACAAGUGAGACGAGACUUCGUGACGACAAGAGAGUCCUCGGUUUUGAUCGUCAGUUUCGAUCUUUGAUCUGAUGGAGAAGACCAGGCAAGUGGGAAAAGAUGAGACUCCGGGAGGACAAGAGAGUCGUCAUCGGUUUCGAUCGUCGGUUUCGAGCAAAGAAGGUGGAGGAAUCUCUUCGAUUUUGUUAUUUUCUCUCGACGGACAAAACAAGAACACGGGAAAAUCAGAGAAAGAGAAGAGAAGAAAAAAAAUAAAAGAUAAAAGCAUCUUUAAAUACGGUCCACUGCUUACGUGACACGUGUUUUAAAUCCCCAUUAAAUUCGAUCACAAAUUACCUAAGCUAAGCAUCGGUUUUUGUCUUUCUUAUUAUUUUUCAUUUAAUUAAAUCAUUAGAUUCCUCUAAGCUUUCCUUUAAAUGUCCCGAUAAACAUGCUCUUAGAAAAUCUAGACAAAAGAAAUUAAUGCUGAUUUUAAGAUUUUAAGAUAGUGGAGAUGAAAUGAUAUUUUAUUGUCCACAAACCAAAGAGAAGUAGAAAAUGUGGGGUUUGGAGAUAAACAAAGGUGGAGUUGUGUUGGCAAACAAAAAGAUGGAAUCUCAUUUAUCUCUAAUAAAUGUGUUAAUUAGUGGCCAACCAACUGAUUAUAUUAUUUAUCCAUACCAAAUUGUUCAUGGCUUCUUAAAAUAUGGGCCUAACUAUCAGUAAUUUUAUUCGUGGGCCUAGAAAAAGAUAAUUAUAUUAUUAAUGGGCCAUAAUUCUUAUCAAAUAAAGAAUAUAAAUUACCCUAACCAGUUUCUUACGGAUUACAGUCAAGUCCAGACUCUCCAGUAACAAUUACUGGAAAACUGAUAAUCCAUUUUACGGCAUGUCUUAGAGCAUGAUUAAUCCGGAAUUCUUAGGAUAAGGUUUUAGCAAAAUUUAAGAAACUGUUUCUUAACUUUUAACUAAAAAGCUAAGAACCGAUUCUUAAAUAAGGAUUUUAAGAAGCGAACCGAUUCUUAAAUAAAGAUUUUAAGAACCGAACCGAUUUUUAACUUUUUUAGUUAAAAGUUAAGAAACAGUUUCUUAACUUCCGGUAAGAACUGCACUCUAAGAAUCCCGGGUUAAUGAUGGUCUUAAUGUUACUAGGAUUUUUGGGAAGGUUUCAUUUUAAUAUUAUUUUCAUCCGAACGCAUUUAACUAUGGAGUUUUGAUGAGAUAUGGUGCAUUAGUACUAGUAUGUUGGCACCCUUCCAUCUGUUUUUAUAUUUUAUGCUGGUUCUAUCAGAUUUUCUUUUUCUUUUUUGGUGUAAGUUCUAUCAGUUCUAUUAUCAGAUAAUUGAAUAAAACUAUUUGUAUUGCAUAUUGGUUUCAGCUGAAUUUCAGUUUUGGUUUAAAAAUUUUCAUUUACUUUGGUUCAGUUUUUUUCUGUCGCCGGUUUAUUCUUUCCAUUUACAGAGAGUUUUUUGCGGUCAAAACAAUAUUUGGUCUGACCUUUAUUAAUAAAAGAGAAAAAAAAAAAAAACAGAAGCAUGAGAGAAGUGAGUGGUGGCGUGAAAGGGAAGGAUGAUGAGACAGACCGACCCAAAGGCGGUGGUCCCAAAGCUCAGCCGCACUACGAUCACGAUACUUCGUUAGUUCUAUCACGUCACGUGCCUCCCAUGCGAGUAAUUUGUAAUCUCCACCGUCAAACAUGUUGACUUACGCCUCUCCGAUAACCUAAAUCAACGUUUAGAAGAAAAAGAUUUCAUAAGCUUAAUAAUACGAAACACAUGCCCUCAAAUCAUAAACAACACGAUGAUACUUAGCGUGCGGAUUAGUUAACAAUCGAGUAUUAUCAGCUUAAAGCCUGCUAUAAUGUUUUAUUUUUCUUUGUACAAAACAAAUUAAAUAAAUAAAAAUAAAGCUGUCUUGUGAAUAAUGUUUUGCAUCACUUUGGUCCACAGACAGAACAAAAACAUAGUCCCUCAGAUCUUCUGACCUUUCAUGUCUUUUUUCCCUUAGUUUUAUUUGCUUUUUAUAAUCUCUUGAUCCAAGAGUUCAUGUUUACUUGUGACAGAAGUCUUGUAAUGAUAAUAUAGCAAAGUCUUGUCUUCUCUCUCUCAAAUAAAAAGAAAUGUCAUCUUUCGAAAUCUCUCACCUUGAUUUAGAGAAUGGUUCCGGUGAUCAGCGUCAUUACCGUCGAAGUGACGUCAGCGAGUUCGGAGAAGACAGCUCUUCCUGCGACUAUGACUACGAUUUUCACUCAGCUGUAAGGAGCUUUUGCGGCGAGUUUGAGUUUCCUGAUUUGGAGGACCUCUCAGAAUCAGAAUCGGAAACUUCUCGAUCAUCUCCGGAGGAGAAAGAUUGCCGGAUUUGCCAUUUGGGUUUAGAGAGUAGCCGCCGUGAAUGUGGAGACCCAAUGGUUCUUGGAUGUUCUUGUAAAGAUGAUUUGGGUUAUGUUCAUAAGCAAUGUGCCGAGACUUGGUUCAAGAUCAAGGGUGACAAGUAAGCAACCAAUUAACUAGUUUGAUCUCACUCAAUAAAAACCAAUGUUGGACUUAACAAGUUGAUGUUUCAGGACUUGCGAGAUUUGUCGUUCGAUAGCUUUAAACUUCUCUAAAGCUGGCAACGAGAUUGAUCAAACAACCACGAUUGAAACCAAUGUGAGUGACGUGGAGGCUGGAAAUUCAUCCACGGUGGUGGCCACAAUGGAUUCCGAUGACCGGAGAUUCUGGAGAGGGAAUAAUAGGUUUCUUAACUUCCUUUUGACAUGUAUGGUUUCUGCAUUUGUAAUCUCAUGGUUCUUUCACUUCAACUUGCCUUCACAACAAUGAGGAACAAGAUUAAACAUCCUCUGUUUUUUUUUUUCCUUUUUUUUUUCUUUUGCUUUGUGUGGAAUUUGAUUCCUGUUUUAGCUUUUUGCACGAGUGCAAUCAUAUCAAACAAUUGGAAUACAAAUAUAAAAAUCAUAAUUGAGUUAGAUUAAAAAAUAGCAUACAAAUCUGUAUGGUUACUUACAUGUUUAUAUUUAUUUAUUCACAAUUUCUGAAUAUACAUGUUUUUUUCACAAACUCUUAUAAGCCUCAAGGGCAGAACCAUGCCUAAGAACAUGAUUAUUGAGAGGUUCUUAGGACGGAGUUCUUAACGGAAUAUAAAAACUCGUCUCUUAACUUUUAACUAAAAAAGCUAAGAACCGGUUCUUAAAUAAGAGUUUUAAGAGCCGGUUCUUAACUUUUUUAGUUAAAAGUUAAGAGACGGGUUCUUAUAUUCCGUUAAGAACUUCAUUCUAAGAAUCCCCAAUAAUCAUGCUCUAAUAGCUUUACUUUCAACUUCCAUUUCGAGUUUGGUAAGACAAGCCGCUUGUAAGUAAAGAGCGAUUUUGGCCAUCCCAGUGAAAGUACUUGUGCUUGCGUUGCAUCGCUUAGAGCCUCGCUGAACAUUUCACUCAUAAGGUAACAUAGCCACCUAAAAAGAAAAAGGAAAAAACAUGCCACCUUCUUGCCAAUACUGUGUGUGGCAACAAAAUGUUGAUUGAUUCAAAGUAUCAAUCUAGAAAUUAGGAAGUAGUAUUGGAUUUGUGAUUUAGUUUAAUGUGGGAUGUUUCAUAAAUAUUAGGGGUUUAAUUAUUUGUUUUUAUUAUUGGGAUCAUGGGUAGUUGUCUUCUUAUUUAAAUAUUCAAUAUUUUGUAAUUGUGUUUUAAGCUUUUUCAAUCAACGUAAUAUUCAGUUUUUUUUUCUCUGAAAUCUCCCAACACAAAAUUAGUAAUGGGGAGAAAAUUAAAACGGACAUUGUAUUAUCAAAAGAUAUCUGCUGCUUGCUUGUGGUAUUUGGUCAUCAAUCAUGCUUUCCUAACUAUACAUUAGAACCGAUUACAAUAUCAUGGAUAUUUAGUUUAGGAAUAUCUGAAUCUCUUAAGUUUUAAUACUCUAGAAACAUUAUUAAAGAAGACAAACCACACACUGAGAUGUUGAUUGUUUGUAGUUUUUGUUUUAGUUUUUGGUUUUUGAUUUUGUAAAAACCAUUUCACUUGCCAAUCAAGUUUUUUAACAAAUAGAUUCCCUAAAAUUUAGAUAAACUAGUUUUCAAAAUUUCAACCAAUUUGUGAAAAAAAGCUAAAAACCAACUUUUGUGGGUUUUCAAAAUAAAAACGAAUUUUGUUUAUUUUGUAUAAAAUACUAUAUUUUAAUUAAUUAAUAACUAAGUAAAUAAUAUUUUCAUAAAGAUAAAAUUCCCAUACAUUUUUUUUUAUCAUUUAACAUUAAUGUAAAAUAAUUUAUGUGUUUCAUAUAUGUAAAUAAAUAUAGAUAAUUUUAGUAUUAGUUGUAGCCAAUUAAUUCUUAAUAUCUAUAAAUAAAUUAUUGAAUAAUAUUAUUAUACAUAAUAAACAACAACUAAAAAUUAUUAAAUUUAAAAUAUUUUAUUAAUACAAUAUAUUAUAUUAAUUUGAAAAAUAGCCAUUCAAGUUCUAAAAAACGAAAAAUAUUUUAUGUAAUAAAAUUUAUAAAUAGUUUCAAAAUUUUAAAAUAUUUUAAUUUUUAUAAUUUAUAGAUAUUUUAUUAAUUAUAUUUAUGUAUAACACGUAAAAUAAAAUAAUUUAAAACAUGGUGAUCUUUUUAUUUUAAAUAACAGCCACUGUAUUUAGAUAAAUUUUAAUGGUAAUUUAAAAAAAAAAUAUUAUUUUAAAACAAUGUUUUUUUUUGUUCAACUUUUUUUUACGUAAAAAAAACAAUAUUUUGCUUAUUUUAUAAAAAAAACUAAGAAUAAAACUAAACAAAAAUCUAAAAACCAAAAACUAAAACCAAAAGCUGAAAAUCAAAAAAUGAAAUCUAAAAGUUAAAAACCAAAAACCAAAAUCUAAAACCAAAAUGUAAAAACCAAAAACUAAUGGAAACAAUCAUCGUCUCUAAAUCUUUGACAUUAUAGAAUUCAAAUUGGAAAGAAGAAAAGAAACAAAAAGACGGGCCUAGAUGGGCAAUAGUUAACAUAAACUUUGUCGUUGGCCCAAUAGUGUCAGCCUAAAAUCUUCUGGUUGUUACUUGUCACUAUAUUUUGGAUAAUCUUAUCAAAAGAAAUGAAAAAUGGCCAGAAAUAUAGACCAUAGAAAAUGACAACAAAACUCAAUACUUUCACAACACUAAGUUACUAACUGAUGCUUUUAGUCUCAAUUAACUAAAUCAUUUUAAGCCCACAUAUAGGUUCUCUUUUUUUUCUAGAGGACUACAACAAAUAAAAUCCCACACACAGGGCAGUGCCUGAAUUUUUUUGGGCCUAGAAGCAAUUUUUUUUUAUUCUUUAGUACUUCAUCCGUUCUGAAAUGUAAAAUGUUUAUAAAAAUUUUUUUGUUCCAAUAUAUAAGAUGUUUUCAUAUUUUUUAGGUAGCAUUAACUUUAUCAAAAUCUGUGUCAAUCAAAUUUAAUAGUUCUAUUUUGUAAUUGGUUGAAAAAAUUUUAAUUAAUAUUUUUAAUAAUACUUUCUAUAUAAAAAAUAAUUUUAUUAAUAAGCGUGUUUUACCGAAAUAUCUUUUUUUUUUUUGUCAAAUGAAUUCAUUUAAGGGUAAUUGGGUAAACCAAAGUACGAACAAGCCAUAAACCGGCCAGAAAAGAGAAUAAAGAUGAAAAGAAAAACCCAACCAACGCCAGUAGGUGAGGAUAAGACCCACAAAUUGGGAAUUCAGAAUGAGAAAAACCAAUUAGAAGACUGAAAAAUAGAGCACCACAAAGGUGCUGUUCCAGACCUCCAUCGCUCAGUAUCAGCAAGUGCUAUUUCCAGAUGCUUCUGAUCGAAUGAGAGAGCUAAGCCAAGCAGGACCAACAUGUGCUACGUACGACUGUACUCUAUGAUCACGAGUAACACUUAACGCCACCUCAUUUGCCAUUUUAUUCAGCCUCAGUGGAACCAAUGUAAUGUGAUAGUUUCCACUACUUUGCAACAGAAAGAGUAUAACAUUUGAUAAAUUGGUAUGUAGGAAGAAUCAAAUUUGUCAACAAAGUAAACAAACGCUUAGUCCAAAACCAACUGAAUCAACCAAUUUUUUUUUCAAAUUGACUUCUAAAAUAUAUUUAGCUAUACCGACACUCAAGCGCAUGUUUGAUGGACUUGCACUCAGGCACAGCCCUAAGUUGGAUAUUUAGUAUGAAAAGUGUUUACUGCAGCCGAUGUAGAAUUGAUCUACACACAAAAAAAAAGCAUUUCAUAAAUAUACAAACACAGGAUUAAAGAUCUGAGAGAACUAUAUGAAAAGUAUUUUCUCAAAUACAUGUACGAAAAGUUUGAGACACGUGGGCUUUUUAUGAUCGUAAUGGGGUAGACGUGGGCAUUUUUAUAAAUUAAUUGUUUACAACUAGAUUUUUGAAAUUUGGCCUUUGGAUUUGAGUAACUUUACGGACAAAUCUCCAAAAUAGCACAUUUCUAAGUUUAUAUCACAAAAAUAGCAUUCAAAAACUAAAAUGACCAAAAUAGCAUCUUUCUAAGUUUAUCUUUUGAAAAUUUUAAUUUUUUUAUUUUUCAAAAUUAGAAAUCUUAUCCCCAAAACCUCAUUUCUCAACCCUAAACCCUAAACCCUAAACUUUAAACCUUAAACUCUAAACUCUAAACCCUAAACCCUAAACCAUAAACCCUAAACCCUAAACUCUAAACCCUAAACCAUAAACCCUAAACCCUAAACUCUAAACCCUAAACCCUAAACUCUAAAAUCUAAACUCUAAAUCCUAAACCCUAAACCCUAAACCCCACCCU